CAGCGAAACUGCGAAUGGCUCAUUAUAUAAGUUAUCGUUUAUUUGAUAGUACCUUACUACUUGGAUAACCGUGGUAAUUCUAGAGCUAAUACAUGCUAAAAAUCCCGACUUCGGAAGGGAUGUAUUUAUUAGAUUAAAAACCAAUGCCCUCUGGGCUCCUUGGUGAUUCAUAAUAACUUUUCGAAUCGCAUGGCCUUGCGCCGGCGAUGGUUCAUUCAAAUUUCUUCCCUAUCAACUUUCGAUGUUUGGGUAUUGGCCAAACAUGGUCGCAACGGGUAACGGAGGGUUAGGGCUCGACCCCGGAGAAGGAGCCUGAGAAACGGCUACUACAUCCAAGGAAGGCAGCAGGCGCGCAAAUUACCCAAUCCCGAUUCGGGGAGGUAGUGACAAUAAAUACUGAUACAGGGCUCUUUUGGGUCUUGUAAUUGGAAUGAGUACAAUUUAAAUCCCUUAACGAGGAACAAUUGGAGGGCAAGUCUGGUGCCAGCAGCCGCGGUAAUUCCAGCUCCAAUAGCGUAUAUUAAAGUUGUUGUGGUUAAAAAGCUCGUAGUUGAACCUUGGGCCUGGCUGGCCGGUCCGCCUCACCGCGUGUACUGGUCCGGCCGGGCCUUUCCCUCUGUGGAACCUCAUGCCCUUCACUGGGUGUGGCGGGGAAACAGGACUUUUACUUUGAAAAAAUUAGAGUGCUCCAGGCAGGCCUAUGCUCGAAUACAUUAGCAUGGAAUAAUGAAAUAGGACGUGUGGUUCUAUUUUGUUGGUUUCUAGGACCGCCGUAAUGAUUAAUAGGGACAGUCGGGGGCAUCAGUAUUCAAUUGUCAGAGGUGAAAUUCUUGGAUUUAUUGAAGACUAACUACUGCGAAAGCAUUUGCCAAGGAUGUUUUCAUUAAUCAGGAACGAAAGUUAGGGGAUCGAAGACGAUCAGAUACCGUCGUAGUCUUAACCAUAAACUAUGCCGACUAGGGAUCGGACGAUGU
rnacentral:rRNA from 1 species